rnacentral:rRNA from 1 species
GCGGACGGGUGAGUAACGCGUGGAUGACCUGCCCUCCGGUGGGGGAUAACCCGGGGAAACCCGGGCUAAUACCGCUUACGUCCAUAGGCUGUGGUCUAUGGGGAAAGCUGGCCUCUGGUUCAAGCCAGUGCCGGAGGAGGGGUCCGCGUCGGAUUAGCUGGUUGGUGGGGUAACGGCCUACCAAGGCGACGAUCCGUAGCUGGCCUGAGAGGAUGGUCAGCCACACUGGGACUGAGACACGGCCCAGACUCCUACGGGAGGCAGCAGUGAGGAAUCUUGGACAAUGGGGGCAACCCUGAUCCAGCAAUGCCGCGUGGGUGAAGAAGGCUUUCGGGUUGUAAAGCCCUUUCGCCGGGGAGGACGCGGUCCGGCUCCAACAGGGGCGGGCUGUGACGUUACCUGGAGAAGAAGCGCCGGCCAACUCCGUGCCAGCAGCCGCGGUAACACGGGGGGCGCAAGCGUUAAUCGGAAUCACUGGGCGUAAAGGGCGCGUAGGCGGUGCGCCAAGUCGGGUGUGAAAGCCCCGGGCUCAACCUGGGAAGGGCACUCGAAAC